AACCCAUGAUGAGGGCACGUUCUCAAUAAGUCAUUGUAUCUCUCCCAUGCAUCAUAUAAAGUCUCUAAAUCGAUCUGAACAAAAGAAGAGAUAUCAUUCCUCAACUU
rfam:Gossypium hirsutum cultivar TM-1 unplaced genomic scaffold scaffold4506.1, whole genome shotgun sequence